rnacentral:rRNA from 1 species
CCCUUAGAUGUUCUGGGCUGCACGCGUGUUACAAUCGGGAGUACAACAAGAUUGCAAAUCCUAGUGGAUGAGUGGUUCUUCGAAAUUUUCUGAAGACUGGGAUAGUUGAUUGAAAUUAUUCAACUCAAACGAGGAAUUCCUUGUAAUUGUAAUUCAUUAUAUUGUAAUGAAUACGUCCCUGCCCUUUGUACACACCGCCCGUCGCUCCUACCGAUUGAACGAUCCGGUGAAUUAUUUGUAGUAGCUCUGGAAGUUGCAGAACUUCCUAUGUCACGAAAUUUUGUAAACCUUAUCGUUUAGAGGAAGGAAAAGUCGUAACA